rnacentral:misc_RNA from 1 species
GAUGAAGAACGUAGCGAAAUGCGAUAAGUAAUGUGAAUUGCAGAAUUCAGUGAAUCAUCGAAUCUUUGAACGCACAUUGCGCCCAUUAGUAUUCUAGUGGGCAUGCCUGUUCGAGCGUCAUUAAGUCCACUUAAGCCCUGCUUAGUGUUGGGAGACUGCUCCAGCGGUGCUACCCUGUAGCUAUCCUGCAGCUCCUCAAAGACAGCGGCGGAGUUGUGGUAUCCUCUGAGCUUAGUAACUUGUUCUAGCUUUCGAGUACACCACUUCCCCUGCCGUAAAACCCUUAAUUUUUAAUGGUUGACCUCGGAUCAGGUAGGAAUACCCGCUGAACUUAAGCAUAUCAAUAAGCGGAGGA